AUUAUCAUCAUGUAAUCAAACUGGCAUUUAAAGGCAUUUUUAUCACUCUCCUCCAGGUGCAAUAGAACGUACAGUUAACAAACGGCACAUUACCCCUGAAGUAGCCACAACUCUUACAUAACAUCUUACAGAAAUACCACCUUACCAUCAUC